GGUUAAGUGAAUAAGGGCGCACGGUGGAUGCCUUGGCACUAGGAGCCGAUGAAGGACGGGACUAACACCGAUAUGCUUUGGGGAGCUGUAAGUAAGCUAUGAUCCAGAGAUUUCCGAAUGGGGGAACCCAAUAUCUUUUAUAGGAUAUUACUUUUCAGUGAAUACAUAGCUGAUUAGAGGUAGACGCAGAGAACUGAAACAUCUUAGUACCUGCAGGAAGAGAAAGAAAAUUCGAUUCCCUGAGUAGCGGCGAGCGAAACGGGAAGAGCCCAAACCAACAAGCUUGCUUGUUGGGGUUGUAGGACUCCGAUAUGGUAGUCUGUUAGUAUAGUUGAAGGAUUUGGAAAAUUCCGCUAAAGAGGGUGAAAGCCCCGUAGACGAAAUGCUGACAACACCUAGGAGGAUCCUGAGUACGGCGGAACACGAGAAAUUCCGUCGGAAUCCGCGGGGACCAUCCCGCAAGGCUAAAUACUCCCUAGUGACCGAUAGUGAACCAGUACCGUGAGGGAAAGGUGAAAAGCACCCCGGAAGGGGAGUGAAAUAGAUCCUGAAACCGUGUGCCUACAACAAGUCAAAGCUCGUUAAUGAGUGAUGGCGUGCCUUUUGUAGAAUGAACCGGCGAGUUACGAUUGCAUGCGAGGUUAAGUCGAAGAGACGGAGCCGCAGCGAAAGCGAGUCUGAAUAGGGCGAAUGAGUAUGUAGUCGUAGACCCGAAACCAUGUGAUCUACCCAUGUCCAGGUUGAAGGUGCGGUAAAACGCACUGGAGGACCGAACCCACGUACGUUGAAAAGUGCGGGGAUGAGGUGUGGGUAGCGGAGAAAUUCCAAACGAACUUGGAGAUAGCUGGUUCUCUCCGAAAUAGCUUUAGGGCUAGCCUCGGAAUUGAGAAUGAUGGAGGUAGAGCACUGUUUGGACUAGGGGCCCAUCUCGGGUUACCGAAUUCAGAUAAACUCCGAAUGCCAUUCAUUUAUAUCCGGGAGUCAGACUGCGAGUGAUAAGAUCCGUAGUCGAAAGGGAAACAGCCCAGACCACCAGCUAAGGUCCCAAAAUAUAUGUUAAGUGGAAAAGGAUGUGGGGUUGCACAGACAACUAGGAUGUUGGCUUAGAAGCAGCCACCAUUUAAAGAGUGCGUAAUAGCUCACUAGUCGAGUGACCCUGCGCCGAAAAUGUACCGGGGCUAAACAUAUUACCGAAGCUGUGGACUACACCAUUAGGUGUAGUGGUAGGAGAGCGUUCUAAGGGCGUUGAAGGUCGAUCGUGAGGACGGCUGGAGCGCUUAGAAGUGAGAAUGCCGGUAUGAGUAGCGAAAGACAGGUGAGAAUCCUGUCCACCGUAUGACUAAGGUUUCCUGGGGAAGGCUCGUCCGCCCAGGGUUAGUCGGGACCUAAGCCGAGGCCGAUAGGCGUAGGCGAUGGACAACAGGUUGAUAUUCCUGUACCAGUUGUUUUUGUUUGAGCAAUGGAGGGACGCAGUAGGCUAAGGAAUGCAUGCGAUUGGAAGUGCAUGUCCAAGCAAUGAGUCUUGAGUAGAGUUAAAUGCUUUACUCUUUAAGGACAAGUUGUGACGGGGAGCGAAAUAAUAGUAGCGAAGUUCCUGAUGUCACACUGCCAAGAAAAGCUUCUAGUGAGAAAACAACUGCCCGUACCGUAAACCGACACAGGUAGUCGAGGAGAGUAUCCUAAGGUGAGCGAGCGAACUCUCGUUAAGGAACUCGGCAAAAUGACCCCGUAACUUCGGGAGAAGGGGUGCUGACUUCGGUCAGCCGCAGUGAAUAGGCCCAAGCGACUGUUUAUCAAAAACACAGGUCUCUGCAAAAUCGUAAGAUGAAGUAUAGGGGCUGACGCCUGCCCGGUGCUGGAAGGUUAAGAGGAUGGGUUAGCUUCGGCGAAGCUCAGAAUUGAAGCCCCAGUAAACGGCGGCCGUAACUAUAACGGUCCUAAGGUAGCGAAAUUCCUUGUCGGGUAAGUUCCGACCCGCACGAAAGGCGUAACGAUUUGGGCACUGUCUCAACGAGAGACUCGGUGAAAUUUUAGUACCUGUGAAGAUGCAGGUUACCCGCGACAGGACGGAAAGACCCCAUGGAGCUUUACUGUAGUUUGAUAUUGAGUGUUUGUACCACAUGUACAGGAUAGGUAGGAGCCGAUGAGACCGGAACGCUAGUUUCGGAGGAGGCGCUGGUGGGAUACUACCCUUGUG
rnacentral:rRNA from 1 species